GCGAUGGCGGUGUAAGGCGUAGCAUCGCUGCCCGGAGAGCAGAAGGUGGGGGUUCGAGUCCCGCCUAGCGCA
rnacentral:tRNA from 1 species